UUAUUAUAUUAUAAUUGAAAGUUAUACUUAUAUAACAAUUAUAAACUAUUUAGCUGUAUUUUUAGUUACUUUCAGUGCACAAACAACGAUUAUUCACUUUCUAUACUUAAUGGUAUAAAUAUAAUGGGCAUACUGACAUACUUUAUUUAAAAAAAACAUAAAAUGUUUGAUUUCACAACCUAUAGCGUCGGCUAUAUAUUAGCCUAUAAAACAUGUAAUUUAAAAGACAUUAAUGGUCAUUAUAGCACAGUUCAAACAACAACAAUUAUAAACGAUUUUGCAGGAAUUGUAAUCAGGCGCUAAAAAUAAUACCCAUUAAUUGUUCGUUGAGCCAAUGGGAUCACUCUGGGUCCUGAGAAAUGACACCGGGACCGCGAUGCACGCUGGGAUUUGGAGUUUUCGGCUGAUUGUAUGCAAAACUCGCAUGCGGAAAGGUUUGAGCAUACACGUCUCGGAGAAUAUCAAUUAAAUAAUAAUUAUAUUACAAGUUAUGGUCCGAUGAGCACCGGCGCCAUGGAGAGUACAGGACACGUCUGGCCAUGUAGCAACUCCGGCUAGUGGAUUAGCACGCACGCGACCAAACACACAGACGGAUGAGAGAGAGGCUGGAGAGAUACAGGGAUACAGAUGAUGCUGAGGUCAGAUGCUCUCAAUCAGUAUACCUAUACAGAAUGCACAUAAAUGAAAUGAUAUAAAGCUGGAGAUUGUGGAUUUUAUUUUAGAUUGUGAUAGAUGAGAUAUAUUUUAUAAUUUAAUGCAGUUUGCAGUACCAGUUAUCCACUUUUAAAGACAGUGAUUAGAACACACACACACACACACACACACACACAAAAGUGCAUUGUGUUGAGGUUUUUCAUCAUGUGAAAAACAACAUAAGAAUAUUUGUCGCAAACAGCUUUUUAUGUAACUUCAAAGUGUUUUCUGUCAAAUGAUAUAAAGAUUGUAUUUAUUCCAAUGUAUGUGGGUAUGGGGACACUUCAAAUUUGGAUAGCGCAGUGCUCUACCAAUUGAGCUACAACAUAUAAGAUCAUUUUCAUCAAUUUCAACUGUUUAAUGUAAUUUCAAAAGAUUUCCUGUAAAAUGAUACCAAACUUUUGUAUGUACACCACUGCAUGUGGGUGUGGGUAUGGGAAGCUUUUGAAUUUAGGUAGGAAAAAUGCCAAGCGGAAAUCCCCAAAAUAGCAUUUGUGCAUAAGGUUUUCAAUUUUAAAAUUAUUGCAGCCUUGGUGAUCAUAAGAUUUCUAAAAAGCAUUACUAAUUAAGAUUUGUGUUUGUGAAUUCAUCUGUGUGAUAGUGAGGUAUAAAUACAGACACAGCCUAAGUGAUUGUGCAAUAAAGUGUUUAAACAAUUGCAAUAAAUUUGAACAAGAACAAAUUUAUUUAACAUUAAUUUGCAUUAGCAUAAGCACAAAUAACUAAUAGUGUAAAAUAUUUUUUUACUAUUAUGCAAAAGUGUAUAUAUAUAUAUAUAUAUAUAUAUAUAUAUAUAUAUAUAUAUAUAACUACAAAAAAAAUAAAAUACAAUAAAACUGAUUCGCUUAACUGAUUACUGAUUAGUCUAUAAAGCUAUGACUACAAUAAAACUGAUUCGCUGAACUGAUUACUGAUUAGUCUAUAAAGCUGUGACUACAAUAAAACUGAUUCGCUGAACUGAUUACUGAUUAGUCUAUAAAGCUAUGACUACAAUAAAACUGAUUCGCUGAACUGAUUACUGAUUAGUCUAUAAAGCUGUGACUACAAUAAAACUGAUUCGCUGAACUGAUUACUGAUUAGUCUAUAAAGCUAUGACUACAAUAAAACUGAUUCGCUGAACUGAUUACUGAUUAGUUUACUGUUUGUACGCUAACUACUCGUUUAUUAACAUGAUUUACAAUAAUUUUCAUGGGCAACUCCAUGAUUAGGUCAUCAAUGCUGCCACAAUAAUGUUCAGAAGGCACAACAAAGAUUUCAUCAUCCGCAGUAAGUAGGUGGCAGUUGUCAUCAAUUUCAGUCACUCCCACAACUUCAACUUCCUGUUCGACAGGUUCAACCUCCUCGAUCUGAAAAAAAAACAUAAAACAUUAAAAACCUUUUAAUUUAAUUGACUGUUUGUAUUUCACUGUGUGUUUGUGUGUGCACAUGCUAGUGAGUGUGAGUAAAGCCCCUUUCACACUGCACGUCGGACCUGGCAAAUUGCCGGAACAUUGCCGGGUCGCCUUAUGUGUGAAAGCAAACACGUCCCGGGAUUGAUUCUGGCAUUGAACCCGGGUCAGGGACCUAGUAACAUUGCCGUGUUCAAUCCAGGGACGAGCGCUGUGUGAACAAAAGCCAGAUUUAAUGCCGUGUCUUAGUGAUGACGCAGGUUAUCGCACGGACUCUUUUACCGGCUGUUUUGAGGAAGAUCAACGUUCAUGACAAAAAAAUAUGUGCAAACUGUAAUGAAGCAGAGAUCAGUUUGUUCCUCACUUUUCCGCAAAGAUGCUGAGAUUGUUUACUAUCGUUUACUCGUGAGCACUGGUGAGUGAAUGUGUGUGUGUCUGUGUGCACUAGUGUGUGUGUGUAUGUAUGUGUGUGUGUGUGCUAGCAAGUGAGUACAUGUGUGUGCGCUAGUGAGCAAGAGUGAGUGAGUGAGUGGUGUGUGUGCCUGCUAGUGAGGGAGUGUAUGUGUGUGCGCUAGUGAGUAAGUGUGUGUUUGCACUGGUGGAGUGAAUGUGUGUGUGUCUGUGUGCACUAGUGUGUGUGUAUGUAUGUGUUGUAUGUGUGUGCUAGCAGAGUGAGUGAUAUGUGUGCGCUAGUGAG
rnacentral:lncRNA from 1 species